UACGGGGGGGGCAAGCGUUGUUCGGAAUUACUGGGCGUAAAGGGCUCGUAGGCGGCCAACUAAGUCAGACGUGAAAUCCCCAGGCUCAACCUGGGAACUGCGUCUGAUACUGGAUGGCUUGAAUCCGGGAGAGGGAUGCAGAAUUCCAGGUGUAGCGGUGAAAUGCGUAGAUAUCUGGAGGAAUACCGGUGGCGAAGGCGGCAUCCUGGACCGACAUUGACGCUGAGGAGCGAAAGCUAGGGGAGCAAACGGG
rnacentral:rRNA from 1 species